UAAAUGUAAAAGAAAAAAAAAAAAUUCUUAACAACAUUAUGGCAAAUGGCAAUAAUUACAAUUAUUAGCGUGAUUCUUCUACGUAUAUUUUUACCAAUAGUCGUAUGGUUGUCAAGUGCAACGGGAGGAAGGAGGAGGAGAACGGUGCAGUUUUGCGCCGUUUACAGCUGUUUCAGAAUAGGAGAAUUUCAUUAUGUAAAUACGGCGAGGAGCACGACGGGGAAUGCGCGUCAAUGCGCGUCUCUCCAUUCCGGUCCGACAUGGAAUUGUGGAACACGCGUCUGUGUUGGCUCUUGACAUUGGGCAUGCGUCACGUGAAUGAAUCACCGCAUCGAAGAUGGUACAUGAAACUCGCAAAAACAUAAAACUCUGGCAAACUCGUUAGCGAAAAACCUGUAGACCUUGGACAAUUCCGAAAGUCUCUUAACAUUCUAGCAUAUAUAUAGAUGUAAAUAACUCGGACAUGGGGAGUAACGCGUUUUAUGUUUAACGCGUUGCCACUACUUUUAUUUUUUUUCAUAAUAAUAAUUUGACAUAACAAUGACAUUACAAUUUUUUAAAAAGACAAUAGUAAUACUAGCAUUGAUAUAAUCAUGUUAAAUUAUUCACAGUCGUUUAAUUACCACUGAAAUAGUAAUUACUAGUAACUUGUUAGAUAAUUCGUUAAGUAAAGAAAAAAAAUAAUAUUAAUGUAUUACUUUGACUCGUUAAGCAAAGUUACAAGUUACUUGUUGAAAGUGACUAUUGCAAUUCUCGCUUUAUUAUUAUCGUUAUAAAAAAUUGUAAUAUUAUUACCAAAUCGUUAUUAUACAAAAGUAAUGGUGACAGCGUUAUUUGUAAUGCAUUACUUUCCAUUCCUGUGAACAAGUUUAAUAAACUGAGCAUUUAAAACAGUAUUUAAGUUGAAGAGUCUGAAGAGACAGUUUUUGUUGGAUCCCUAAUUUUUUUUACGAGUCUGAAAUGCCUUCAUAUAUUAUUAUAUAAGAAUACAUAUAUAAAGAUACAAAUAUGUAAUUUUACCGAAAGAAAUCUAAAGAAAUUUACCAUAAUCUUACGUUAACAAUUGCUUAGAAAGAGAGAGAGAGAAAGAGAGAGAAAAAACGUAUGCUUAACGCGUUCGAAUUGUAUUGUAUUUAUUUUCCCAGCUUUAAACGUCGGAAAGUAUUCUUGCUGACUCACUGUGUGUAUAUAUCUACAUGACUUGCUACUCAUAAAGGGGACUAGCGCUUUAGCUUUACUUUCUAUAGUUUGUUCUCUUUCUACUUUCUCUCCGAACGGAAAAAAACAUGGCUAAAAGAGAACGAACGCUCUCACUAUAUCAACAAUGAUGGAUGAUUUUAGUUGUAAAAUAAUUUUAUCAGUGAAAUUUACGCGCGCGCGCGCGUGCGCGUGUGUGUUGUGUAAAAUAAAUGGCUGAUAAUUAAAAAUUUGUAUAUUUUCACAUUGUAUGUAUGUACAUAAAAUUUAUCGCAAUCGUUUGUUCGAUACGUAUAAACCCUCCUUUGAAACUAGAAUUAUUAUCCAUUAAUAAUAAUUAAUAUUUAUCAUUGUUCAUCACCGAUAGUGUACACUUUAAAAUCCCUCUUUUUCAUAAAAACCCAAUUCUAAUUUACACGUAAAAUA